CUGGCGGGUGCUAUACAUGCAAGUCGAGCGAACAGACGAGGAGCUUGCUCCUCUGACGUUAGCGGCGGACGGGUGAGUAACACGUGGAUAACCUACCUAUAAGACUGGGAUAACUUCGGGAAACCGGAGCUAAUACCGGAUAAUAUAUUGAACCGCAUGGUUCAAUAGUGAAAGACGGUUUUGCUGUCACUUAUAGAUGGAUCCGCGCCGCAUUAGCUAGUUGGUAAGGUAACGGCUUACCAAGGCAACGAUGCGUAGCCGACCUGAGAGGGUGAUCGGCCACACUGGAACUGAGACACGGUCCAGACUCCUACGGGAGGCAGCAGUAGGGAAUCUUCCGCAAUGGGCGAAAGCCUGACGGAGCAACGCCGCGUGAGUGAUGAAGGUCUUCGGAUCGUAAAACUCUGUUAUUAGGGAAGAACAAAUGUGUAAGUAACUAUGCACGUCUUGACGGUACCUAAUCAGAAAGCCACGGCUAACUACGUGCCAGCAGCCGCGGUAAUACGUAGGUGGCAAGCGUUAUCCGGAAUUAUUGGGCGUAAAGCGCGCGUAGGCGGUUUUUUAAGUCUGAUGUGAAAGCCCACGGCUCAACCGUGGAGGGUCAUUGGAAACUGGAAAACUUGAGUGCAGAAGAGGAAAGUGGAAUUCCAUGUGUAGCGGUGAAAUGCGCAGAGAUAUGGAGGAACACCAGUGGCGAAGGCGACUUUCUGGUCUGUAACUGACGCUGAUGUGCGAAAGCGUGGGGAUCAAACAGGAUUAGAUACCCUGGUAGUCCACGCCGUAAACGAUGAGUGCUAAGUGUUAGGGGGUUUCCGCCCCUUAGUGCUGCAGCUAACGCAUUAAGCACUCCGCCUGGGGAGUACGACCGCAAGGUUGAAACUCAAAGGAAUUGACGGGGACCGCACAAGCGGUGGAGCAUGUGGUUUAAUUCGAAGCAACGCGAAGAACCUUACCAAAUCUUGACAUCCUCUGACCCCUCUAGAGAUAGAGUUUUCCCCUUCGGGGGACAGAGUGACAGGUGGUGCAUGGUUGUCGUCAGCUCGUGUCGUGAGAUGUUGGGUUAAGUCCCGCAACGAGCGCAACCCUUAAGCUUAGUUGCCAUCAUUAAGUUGGGCACUCUAAGUUGACUGCCGGUGACAAACCGGAGGAAGGUGGGGAUGA
rnacentral:rRNA from 1 species